ensembl:lncRNA
AGCAAUGUUAAUGAUGCAAUUGCAGUAAUAAUUUCUGGAGGUCCUGUUGUGGCUCAAUGGAAACGAACCUGACUAGUACCCAUGAGGACGCAAGUUUGAUCCCUGACCUCACGCAGUCGGUUAAGGGUCUGGCAUUGCUGUGGCUGUGGGGUAGGCCAGCAGCUACAGCUCCGAUUUGACCCCUGGCCUGGGUGUGGCUCUUAAAAAAAAAAAAAAACAAUAAUAAUUUCUUUCCACUUUAAGCUCAAGGGUUACAUUGGGGUUUGUAGCUUGUUUGCAGCGUUAGAACCAGUGGGGCGGGGAUAGUCAUGGAAAUAGUUUGGGGAAGUGCCCUUAUCAUAUAGAGCAUCACAAACUGGGCACGUGUUUACUGGCUCUUUUGUGUGCUUACUGGUUCAUGAGAAUCAAGAAUGGCGAUUGGAAAUGGUUACCCAAGAGGGAAGAGGGUAGGGAAGGGAUAUAUUAGGGGGUUCGGAUUAGCAGAUACAAACUACUGUAUAUAAAACAGGUAAACAACAAAGCCCUCUGUAUAGCAUGGGGAACGGUAUUCAAUAUCCCAUAGUACGCCAUAAUGGAAAGGAAUAUAAAAAAGAAAAAAUAGGGAGGUCUCAUAGUAGCUUAGUGGUAACAAAUCCCACUAGUAUCCAUGAGGGUGUAGGUUCGAUCCCUGGUCUCGCUCAGUGAGUUAAGGAUCUGGCAUUGCUGUGGCUGUGGUAUAGGCUGGCAGCUGUAGUUCUGAUUCGCCCCCUAGCCUGGAAACUUCCGUAUGCCUUGGGUGCAGUCCUAAAAAGCAAAAACAAACCAAAAAAAAAAGAAAAAGAAAAAGAAAAAAAUAUAUAUAUAUACAUAUAUAUAACUGAAUCACUUUUCUGUACACCAGACACUAACACAAUAUUGUAAAUCAACUAUUCUUCAUUAAAAAAAAAAAAAAGGUCUUGUAACCAUGCAGAGCUAGAUUUGGAAUUCAUUUCUUCUUUUUUUUCUUUCUUUUCUUUUAUUCUUUAACAGACAUUUAUUGAUCCAGUACCGUUCUGGGUACAGAACAGUGAACAAAAGAGACAGAACCUCUGCCAGCAUAGAGCUUACAUUCCAGUGAGAAAGUAAAGAAAAAAGGAAGGAUGGUGACGGGUGCGUCAUAUGGGAAAGCAGUAGUGUGAGGGGAAGAGCACCGGGGUUUGAUUUAAAUCGGGUGGGCAAGGAAGGCCCAUUCAGGUUUCUCUGCAAAUGUCCCCUCAGUGGAGUUUUCCUUGACCCCCCUAUGUAGAUCAGAUUCCAGCUUGAACCGGGAUGGGACGGGAGUGGAGUAUCCUCAGGAGGAACCCAUGCAAGGUGGCGUCAAGGAAGAAAUGGGGACAGGGCUUCGUGGUCCUCAGGUCACUGUCAUGGUGACGACUUGUACCCUGCUUGAGACGAAACCGGUUCUAGGAUUUUGAGGAGGGAGAUGUGACAUGGUCUGACAUUUAUAAAGGACCAUUCCACCGUUCUUUAGAGAACCAGCCAAGGAGAAACAAGGGCAGAGACAGAGACACUCACUAGGAGGCCGCCGUCAUAAUCCAGGGAGCGGUAACCUUUGGGAUCCUCGAGGUACCCAUGGCGGUGGUGGGACGUGGUUGGAGUCUCUGGAUGCACUUCCAAGGUCCUGCCAGCAGGAUAUGCUAAUGAUUUGGAUGUGAGAUGAGAUGAAAAAGACAACCUUUGCAUUGCAGACCCUCAUUGCACAACCUUAAAAACCUUAGACAGUUUCUCACUCUGGUAUCAACUAGAAGAACAAAAAGGUGUAUGUUCCUUGAACCCUGUUUAAAAAAUUAAAAUGCCUUUAUUCAUAUUAUUUGAGUUGAACUUAGGCAGUGGGUCUUCAUCCAUCUGGCAGACAAACAGAGGCCCUGUGAUGUUAAAUGCUCUGACCAAGUUUAUAUAGCCAGUCAGUGGCAGGAGACAUCCUUCAACUCAUCUGCAGAAUCACUAUCAUAAAAAUCAUCUUCCUUAUUAAGUGCUGGGACCAGAGCUUAUGAGGUUCCAGCAUUUCAGGGAUCCAAAGGUCCUUCGAAGAGCUAAGUCAGUGCUCAGCAUCUCAAAUACUGUUGUUAGAAGUUGUUACAGUGUGUGAAUCUGUAUUAUCUUUUGUACGUGAAGAGAGAGGAGCCGACCUACGGGGGAGGACACUUGCCCAUGAACUUUGUGUUCCUUUUUUCUGGCAACAAGCAAUUAAUUUGCCCAGUUUGGGCCACUUCACUCUUAUCCACUGACUCUUGUGUAACCCAGGGGCCAUUGUUUGUCAUAUGGAGAUGCCUUCUGAGUGCCUGGAAUGGAGCAAGACUAAUUAGCUUAACCAACGUUAAAAAAUAAGACUUCCCCACUGAUAGGAUGCUAACCAGCAAACUAACCUGUCACAGUCACAGUCUUUUAUGGAUGUGGAUGACUGGCAUUGUUUCAGCAUAUCCAGUGCCUUGGCAUUUGCGAAAGCCACCUGGCCACCUUUAUUGGUCUGAUGGAUGGAUGUGAGGCUGAAGGGCAAGUUGGAUUAUCUAUUAAUGGAAAAUAAUACAAAUAGAAAAAAAAAAAAAA